rnacentral:rRNA from 1 species
GACGAACGCUGGCGGCGUGCCUAAUACAUGCAAGUAGAACGCUGAAGAGAGGAGCUUGCUCUUCUUGGAUGAGUUGCGAACGGGUGAGUAACGCGUAGGUAACCUGCCUUGUAGCGGGGGAUAACUAUUGGAAACGAUAGCUAAUACCGCAUAACAAUGGAUGACACAUGUCAUUUAUUUGAAAGGGGCAAUUGCUCCACUACAAGAUGGACCUGCGUUGUAUUAGCUAGUAGGUGAGGUAACGGCUCACCUAGGCGACGAUACAUAGCCGACCUGAGAGGGUGAUCGGCCACACUGGGACUGAGACACGGCCCAGACUCCUACGGGAGGCAGCAGUAGGGAAUCUUCGGCAAUGGGGGCAACCCUGACCGAGCAACGCCGCGUGAGUGAAGAAGGUUUUCGGAUCGUAAAGCUCUGUUGUAAGUCAAGAACGAGUGUGAGAGUGGAGAGUUCACACUGUGACGGUAGCUUACCAGAAAGGGACGGCUAACUACGUGCCAGCAGCCGCGGUAAUACGUAGGUCCCGAGCGUUGUCCGGAUUUAUUGGGCGUAAAGCGAGCGCAGGCGGUCUGAUAAGUCUGAAGUUAAAGGCUGUGGCUCAACCAUAGUUCGCUUUGGAAACUGUCAAACUUGAGUGCAGAAGGGGAGAGUGGAAUUCCAUGUGUAGCGGUGAAAUGCGUAGAUAUAUGGAGGAACACCGGUGGCGAAAGCGGCUCUCUGGUCUGUAACUGACGCUGAGGCUCGAAAGCGUGGGGGGCGAACAGGAUUAGAUACCCUGGUAGUCCACGCCGUAAACGAUGAGUGCUAGGUGUUGGAUCCUUUCCGGGAUUCAGUGCCGCAGCUAACGCAUUAAGCACUCCGCCUGGGGAGUACGACCGCAAGGUUGAAACUCAAAGGAAUUGACGGGGGCCCGCACAAGCGGUGGAGCAUGUGGUUUAAUUCGAAGCAACGCGAAGAACCUUACCAGGUCUUGACAUCCCGAUGCUAUUUCUAGAGAUAGAAAGUUACUUCGGUACAUCGGUGACAGGUGGUGCAUGGUUGUCGUCAGCUCGUGUCGUGAGAUGUUGGGUUAAGUCCCGCAACGAGCGCAACCCCUAUUGUUAGUUGCCAUCAUUCAGUUGGGCACUCUAGCGAGACUGCCGGUAAUAAACCGGAGGAAGGUGGGGAUGACGUCAAAUCAUCAUGCCCCUUAUGACCUGGGCUACACACGUGCUACAAUGGUUGGUACAACGAGUUGCGAGUCGGUGACGGCAAGCUAAUCUCUUAAAGCCAAUCUCAGUUCGGAUUGUAGGCUGCAACUCGCCUACAUGAAGUCGGAAUCGCUAGUAAUCGCGGAUCAGCACGCCGCGGUGAAUACGUUCCCGGGCCU